rnacentral:rRNA from 1 species
CCUACGGGAGGCAGCAGUGGGGAAUCUUGCGCAAUGGGCGAAAGCCUGACGCAGCGACGCCGCGUGAGUGAUGAAGGCCUUCGGGUUGUAAAGCUCUGUGGAGGGAGACGAAUAAGGGUUGGCUAACAUCCAGCUCGAUGACGGUAUCCCUUUAGCAAGCACCGGCUAACUCUGUGCCAGCAGCCGCGGUAAGACAGAGGGUGCAAACGUUGUUCGGAAUUACUGGGCGUAAAGCGCGUGUAGGCUGCUCGGAAAGUCGGAUGUGAAAGCCCUGGGCUCAACCUAGGAAGUGCAUUCGAAACUUCCGAGCUGGAGUGCUGGAGAGGAAGGCGGAAUUCUCGGUGUAGAGGUGAAAUUCGUAGAUAUCGAGAGGAACACCGGUGGCGAAGGCGGCCUUCUGGACAGCUACUGACGCUGAGACGCGAAAGCGUGGGGAGCAAACAGGAUUAGAUACCCUGGUAGUCCACGCCGUAAACGAUGGGUGCUAGGUGUCGCGGGCUUUGACCCCUGCGGUGCCGUAGCUAACGCAUUAAGCACCCCGCCUGGGGAGUACGGCCGCAAGGCUAAAACUCAAAGGAAUUGACGG